rnacentral:rRNA from 1 species
AUUGAACGCUGGCCGCAGGCCUAACACAUGCAAGUCGAACGAGUGGCGGACGGGUUAUUAAUGUCUGGUCAACUGCCUUAUGGAUGUGUAUUACUCCUGUAAACGGUAUCUAAUACCGCCUACCAUCUGAUGUGCCCAGAUGGGAUUAGCUAGUAGGUGGGGUAACGGCUCACCUAGGCGACGAUACCUAGCUGGUCUGAUAGGAUGACCAGCAAAACUGGAACGGAGACAGGGUCCAGACGACUACGGGAGGAAGCAGUGGGGAAUAUUGCACAAUGGGCGCAAGCCUGAUGCAGCCAUGCCGCGUGUAGGAAGAAGGCCUUCGGGUUGUAAAGUACUUUCAGCGGGGAGGCGUUACCCGCAGAAGAAGCACCGGCUAACUCCGUGCCAGCAGCCGCGGUAAUUC